rnacentral:rRNA from 1 species
CCUACGGGGGGCAGCAGUGAGGAAUAUUGGUCAAUGGGCGCUAGUCUGAACCAGCCAAGUAGCGUGAAGGAUGACUGCCCUAUGGGUUGUAAACUUCUUUUAUAUGGGAAUAAAGUGUUGCACGUAUACUGUUUUGUAUGUACCUUAUGAAUAAGGAUCGGCUAACUCCGUGCCAGCAGCCGCGGUAAUACGGAGGAUCCGAGCGUUAUCCGGAUUUAUUGGGUUUAAAGGGAGCGUAGGCGGGUUGUUAAGUCAGUUGUGAAAGUUUGCGGCUCAACCGUAAAAUUGCAGUUGAUACUGGCAGCCUUGAGUACAGUAGAGGUGGGCGGAAUUCGUGGUGUAGCGGUGAAAUGCUUAGAUAUCACGAAGAACUCCGAUUGCGAAGGCAGUCUACUGGACUGUAACUGACACUGAGGCUCGAAAGUGUGGGUAUCAAACAGGAUUAGAUACCCGAGUAGUC